ACACACACCGUAAUUGGAAGAGAUAUACGUAAUGCCUGCGCAGUAAGAACUAGUGUUCCAUUCUCAGUACUUAUCGGAUCUACAUGCCGCAUUAUGCGCAUGUUCUUCCACUAUCAGCAAAAAAAAUUAAGGGAACUUGGUGGUAUUCUUUUUGAUUGUUUCAGCCGUCUGGAAUCUGAACUAAGUUCAGGCAAUAAUAAUGAAGGAACAUUCAUGGCUUUGCACUUUCAUCACACAGAUUUCCCUCUGUUUCUGUGUUUACCUUGCAUUUAACAUGGGUGACAGAACUGAGAGUAGCAGCAGGCCUGUUGAGACGUACUUUAUGAGUGUUGCAGGAGGUUUUAGGCCUGAAAAAGAACAGACCCUUCUUCUCAAACUGAUGGCGAAGGUGGCAAAAGUGUACAAAGUACAAUUUGUAGUGAGCAUUAGUGAACUUGGAGAAAAUGAUCCUCUCGGCCUGAAUGCCACGUGGUAUUUUCUGUCUCUAAAACUUCCCUGGUACACAACAAAAUCAUUCAAAGGACAAAGACCUGGUUCCUACCUCGAGCAUACAAAAGUUCAAUAUGGGAAUACCUUGGAUAUUGUAAUUGUGAAUACAGAGUUAUUUCAGGGCCCUUCAGCUGGUGCUAUGGAGCAUCAGUUACUAUGGCUCACGAAGACACUGGAAGAAAGCACCAGUGACUGGCGCAUUGUUGUUGGUUUCCACCCACUGUUAGCUUGUAAUGGAAGUACGGAAGCUAAAGACAAUCCUCUCUGUCUUAAUGAAAUGUUUUUGAAUCAUCGAGUGGACGCUUACCUCAGUGGCCAUGCUUGUACCAAACAUGUUCACAAACAGAGUGCAAAACAGCCUGGUAAUGCUGAUCAACCGGGCAAAGGACCUUGUCUUACUCCAAUUCGUAGGAUAUUUGAUCAAAACAAGGAAAAGGUGAAUGGUUUUCUUCUACACAGAGUCAGUUCCCUAGAACUCGUAACUUAUUCAAUAAACUUGAAGGGGGAUGUUGCACACAAGAUUGAACUUCAACAAAGUGGUAGAGAAGUCAUGUGAUGUACUCAAAGACCUUAUAAUCAUCCCAAAGCCUUGGUGCUUGUUUUGCUCUACCUUUUUCUUCUGUAUAGAUUUUCAAUUAUUUUCAUAAUUUUAAAUACCAUGUAUUUGAUCUCUUUCUGAGUUUCUGGCUUAACAGUAACAAUCUUUGUUUUGGUUCCUGAGGUACUAUAUUAGGCCCUGCAAUUAAAGCAUACUGAGUGGUACAUUUGCUGGAGUUGUUUCUUGUACCCUUAAUGAGAGGCUUGUUAUUCUUGCUUCUGGUCGUUGUGGAUAAGGUUCCAUAAAUUGUAGAGAAAUGAUCCUCAGGUCUAUUGUUGGAGAAAUUGAUCCUAGACUAUUUUGUUAAAAUUUGUGUUCGAGAAAUUGAUCAUUGUCUCCUGUUGAAUUUUGGAGUACUCGAACAUCGAAUAUACUGGGGUUCUCAACUUCAUAAAAUUUGCCUAAUCAGCAAAUCGGCCAAAGAUAUAAAAGGAGGGAUCCUGUAGAGAUUAUAGUCGAAGUUAUUGUGUUUGGUGUUGAACAGUUGUCUAAGUUAUUGGUUGUGCUCGCCUCGAUUAAGCCAUCUGCCAAGUGACACCCAAUCCAAUGUAUGAAGAUGGAAGGGAAGGCGGCUAUGCAAGGGAGGCGAAGCAGAGAUGACAACUACCUGAGAUUGAUCCUCAGCACAUCGAGUCAUGGCACUCACAUUGAUCCUCAGCGCACCCACGAAGAGGAAGCCUACCUUGGCAUUGAAGACAAUUCUUGGGAUAGAGUUGAAGACAAUUCUCCAGCUUCUUGGGAUAGAGUGAUAGACUUUUUGCCAAGAAUCCGUUGGAUAUCAGAUUACAGCUCUAUGUUUUGUUACUGACAGGCGACUAAAGGAAUGCAUGAUACUUCAAUGGCCCCAACAUCAGGUGCCUUAGAAUAUGAGAAAUGGUUGAGCUGCUUUAUGGGGUUUAAUCUGUUUAAGAGGCAUCGGCAAGGCGGUGCAUUUUGCGUACCUUGGAAGCACAACAUCCAGACAGGUAUUCAAGCUAUUCACGAUGCCGUGCAGAUGAAAAGAAUCAUACCAUGUGACCGGAAAAGCAUUUUCUGAGAAGAAGAUGUCUCCUGCUGAGAGUGGAAAGUCAUGAGAUACUCAGGAUUUGGAAGCCUUUGGUGAACUCACUAGUGUUACUUAGGUUCAUCAAUAACAUCAGGUGGUUUUACUUAGAACUUUCCUCAGCAUGAAUUCAUGCAGGAUUGUUUUUCUUUGACAGUCUCAAAACAUUCAGCAUUGGUCUGCUGUUACUGAUGAUAACAUUGUACUAGUUAAAUAUUUGAUGGAAACAAAUAUCCAAAAGAA